UGGCGGCGUGCCUAAUACAUGCAAGUCGAACGGUCUUUCUAUGGAAGCUUGCUUCCACUGAGAAGAUAGUGGCGAACGGGUGAGUAACACGUGGGUAACCUGCCCAUAAGAGGGGGAUAACAUCCGGAAACGGGUGCUAAUACCGCAUAGUUUUCUUGAUCGCAUGAUCGGGAAAGGAAAGACGGCCUUUGUGCUGUCGCUUAUGGAUGGACCCGCGGCGUAUUAGUUAGUUGGUGAGGUAACGGCUCACCAAGACGAUGAUACGUAGCCGACCUGAGAGGGUGAUCGGCCACAUUGGGACUGAGACACGGCCCAAACUCCUACGGGAGGCAGCAGUAGGGAAUCUUCCGCAAUGGACGAAAGUCUGACGGAGCAACGCCGCGUGAGUGAAAGAAGGUUUUCGGAUCGUAAAACUCUGUUGUCAGAGAAGAACAAGUUGGAGAGUAACUGCUCCAGCCUUGACGGUAUCUGACCAGAAAGCCACGGCUAACUACGUGCCAGCCGCGGC
rnacentral:rRNA from 1 species